rnacentral:rRNA from 1 species
CAUAWUAAUAAGCGGAGGAAAAGAAACUAACAAGGAUUCCCCUAGUAACGGCGAGUGAACCGGGAAGAGCUCAAAUUUGAAAUCUGGCGUCCUCAGGGCGUCCGAGUUGUAAUCUAUAGAGGCGUUUUCCGUGCCGGACCGUGUCCAAGUUCCUUGGAACAGGAUAUCAAAGAGGGUGACAAUCCCGUACUUGACACGACGACCGGUGCUCUGUGAUACGUCUUCUACGAGUCGAGUUGUUUGGGAAUGCAGCUCAAAAUGGGUGGUGAGUUCCAUCUAAAGCUAAAUAUUGGCGAGAGACCGAUAGCGAACAAGUACCGUGAGGGAAAGAUGAAAAGCACUUUGGAAAGAGAGUUAAACAGUACGUGAAAUUGUUGAAAGGGAAACGAUUGAAGUCAGUCGUGACCGAGAGGCUCAGCCGGUUCUGCCGGUGUAUUCCCCUCGGUCGGGUCAACAUCAGUUUUGUCCGGUGGAUAAGGGCGGUAGGAAGGUGGCACCCUCGGGUGUGUUAUAGCCUGCCGUCGCAUACAUCGGGUGAGACUGAGGAACGCAGCUCGCCUUUAUGGCCGGGGUUCGCCCACGUCCGAGCUUAGGAUGUUGACAUAAUGGCUUUAAACGACCCGUCUUGAAACCSGG